AUUGAACGCUGGCGGCAGGCUUAACACAUGCAAGUCGAACGCCCCGCAAGGGGAGUGGCAGACGGGUGAGUAACACGUGGGAACGUACCCCUUGGUUCGGAAUAACUUGGGGAAACUCAAGCUAAUACCGGAUAAGCCCUUAUGGGGAAAGGUUUACUGCCGAAGGAUCGGCCCGCGUCUGAUUAGCUAGUUGGUGAGGUAAUGGCUCACCAAGGCGACGAUCAGUAGCUGGUCUGGGAGGAUGAUCAGCCACACUGGGACUGAGACGCGGCCCAGACUCCUACGGGAGGCAGCAGUGGGGAAUAUUGGACAAUGGGGGCAACCCUGAUCCAGCCAUGCCGCGUGAGUGAUGAAGGCCUUAGGGUUGUAAAGCUCUUUUACCCGGGACGAUAAUGACUGUACCGGGAGAAUAAGCCCCGGCUAACUUCGUGCCAGCCGCCGCUGUAA
rnacentral:rRNA from 1 species